UACGUAGGGGUCUAGCGUUGUCCGGAAUUAUUGGGCGUAAAGAGCUCGUAGGUGGUUCGGCAAGUCGGAUGUGAAAUCUCCACGCUUAACGUGGAGGGGCCAUUCGAAACUGCCGUGACUCGAGUCCGGUAGGGGAGUUCGGAAUUCCCGGUGUAGCGGUGAAAUGCGCAGAUAUCGGGAGGAACACCAGUGGCGAAGGCGGGUGCUGGGCUGACACUGACGCUGAUGCGCGAAAGCUAGGGGAGCGAACGGG
rnacentral:rRNA from 1 species